rnacentral:rRNA from 1 species
UCAAUAAGCGGAGGAAAAGAAACCAACAGGGAUUGCCCCAGUAACGGCGAGUGAAGCGGCAACAGCUCAAAUUUGAAAUCUGGUCCCCUUGCGGGGCCCGAGUUGUAAUUUGAAGAGGAUGCUUCUGGCAAGGUGCCUUCCGAGUUCCCUGGAACGGGACGCCGCAGAGGGUGAGAGCCCCGUACGGUAGGACGCCGAGCCUCUGUGAAGCUCCUUCGACGAGUCGAGUAGUUUGGGAAUGCUGCUCAAAAUGGGAGGUAAACCCCUUCUAAAGCUAAAUACCGGCCAGAGACCGAUAGCGCACAAGUAGAGUGAUCGAAAGAUGAAAAGCACUUUGAAAAGAGAGUUAAAAAGCACGUGAAAUUGUUGAAAGGGAAGCGCUUGCGACCAGACUCGCGCCCGUCGGAUCAGCCGUCGCUUGUCGGCGGCGCACUCCGGCGGGCUCGGGCCAGCAUCAGUUCGCCUCGGGGGGAGAAAGGCGGCAGGAAUGUGGCUCCUCGGAGUGUUAUAGCCUGCCGUGUAAUACCCCCGGGCGGACUGAGGACCGCGCGUAUGCAAGGAUGCUGGCGUAAUGGUCGUCAGCGACCCGUCUUGAAACACGGACCAAGGAGUCGUCCUAAUAUGCGAGUGUACGGGUGUCAAACCCCUGCGCGUAAUGAAAGUGAACGGAGGUGAGAGCUUCGGCGCAUCAUCGACCGAUCCUGAUGUUCUCGGAUGGAUUUGAGUAAGAGCAUAUUGGGCCGGACCCGAAAGAAGGUGAACUAUGCCUGUGUAGGGUAAAGCCAGAGGAAACUCUGGUGGAGGCUCGCAGCGGUUCUGACGUGCAAAUCGAUCGUCAAACAUGGGCAUGGGGGCGAAAGACUAAUCGAACCUUCUAGUA